rnacentral:misc_RNA from 1 species
ACGAUCACAAACACCAGUUACGCGCUUUUGAAGAAUUCGAAAACGUUGUCGUUGCACGCUUGUGUGCUUCGGCGUCGCUGUUCUUCUUCGGAACAGCUAUGUGCACCAUUGCAAGUGCAUUGAACGGCUUGGUUUGGCUUCUGUGGGAGGUGGAGCAGUUGUGUUAAACGACCGUGGCUGCGCAUGACACUGACCGACAGCUUGACGCUUCGUGCGACGAGUGAGAAUCAAUGACCCCGAGUGGGCGCCAAACAAACACCCAUUAUUCAUUCUAUAUUUGAUCAUAAUUGA